rnacentral:rRNA from 1 species
AGCAGCCGCGGUAAUUCCAGCUCCAAUAGCGUAUAUUAAAGUUGUUGCAGUUAAAAAGCUCGUAGUUGAAUUUCGGGGUUAGUAGGUUGGUCGUGCCACUGGUACGUACUGGUCUCACUGAUUCCUCCUUCCUGAUGAACUGUAAUGCCAUUAAUUUGGUGUUGCAGGGAAACUGGACUGUUACUUUGAAAAAAUUUAGAGUGUUUAAAGCAAGCUAACGCUUGAAUACAUUAGCAUGGAAUAAUGAAAUAGGACGUUCGAUCCUAUUUUGUUGGUUUCUAGGAUUGACGUAAUGAUUAAUAGGGAUAGUUGGGGGCAUUAGUAUUCAAUUGUCAGAGGUGAAAUUCUUGGAUUUAUUGAAGACUAACUACUGCGAAAGCAUUUGCCAAGGAUGUUUUCAUUAAUCAAGAACGAAAGUUAGGGGAUCGAAGACGAUCAGAUACCGUCGUAGUCUUAACCAUAAACUAUGCCGACUAGGGAUCGGAUGAUGUUAAUUUUUUAAUGACUCAUUCGGCGCCUU